GGAUAUCCAAAAGGAGUAAAAGGGUAUCUAAUAUUAAGAAUUUCUGAUAUGAAGAUAUUCAUAUCUAGAAAUGUUUCUUUUAGGGAGACUAUAUUCCCAUUCAAAGAUAGCAUAAUUUCAGAAAAUGAUGAAGAAUUCAUCAAUUUUCAAAAAUUUUAUAAAAAUGCUUUCUUAUUCCAUGAUGAUUCAAACAAGACUUGGUAUGAUUUUAAA
rnacentral:lncRNA from 1 species